GUGGUUGUAGCUCAGUUGGUUAGAGCGCCUGGUUGUGGCCCAGGAGGUCGCCGGUUCGAGUCCGGUCUCCCACCCCA
rnacentral:tRNA from 1 species